UUUCAUACAAAAUGGAUGUUAGCACUAUGCUUAAAAAACAUAUAUGUAAUGGACUCGAAUGACAGAUCUUAUAAUUGGUGUCAUGAAUAUAUCGAGAAAUUAUAACAGUCACAUGGAAAAUUCAGUGUCAAUUUUUGUAAAUGAGAUGAAAUAAUCUGUUCAUAUAUCAUCUGUGCAUCCCAUCAACCAGAUAAUAUUAAAAUAAUGAACGUCGGUAGCAAUCCAGCAACUAGUUCUAAUCAAACUAAAGUUAACUAUAGUAAAUCAGUCAAGUUCGCUUGAAGUCAUUAAUGCCCAACUGCCUACUGGAUGCUAUGCUGCUGCUACUGGAAAGGAUCAAUCUAUCUACAUUUAAGUUCUUGGGCAAUCAAAUUAAGGGAAACGGUUCUAAGCCAAAAACUGCAAAUAGAAAUCUGUAAAGUUUUCGAGCCAAUCGCUUAAAUGAAACCAUCUGUGGAGCAGCAGGGGUACACAUCGCUUUACUUUCCUCAAUGGAUGUAAAAUGAAAAUAUUUUGGAACGAGUGCUCCAAGCACAUGCGAGUUAAUGAAUUAAGACAAUUAAUAUAUUGACAUUAUUUGCAAUCUAUGGAGCAAACAGAAGUUACAAACGAAUAAGAAUUAAUUAAACUUUUUAUGCCCAUAAAAAUCUAAUUUUAAUUUUCCGGUGGCGUUAACGUUAUUUUAAAAAUAUGUACAAUUCACAGCAGCAAAAGUAUUUAAAUUAUUUUGGAAAACGUUAAAGUUCAAAACUCUUAAUGGUUUUAUUAGGCAAUAAAAGACACAGUGGGCCAAGGAUAAAGUUUGUUUUGCAAUGUGCCGAAUAUAUAGGAGCAACGUUUAAAAGACUGAAAAAUGUUAUUAUAUAUUUCCGUAUGAAAAAUUUUUGAUUGAUACAUUUGUACAUAAUGUAAAUUAAGAAAAGUACUUUAAAUAAAA